rnacentral:misc_RNA from 1 species
AAGAGACGUUGCCCUUCGGGGUAUACCUCCCACCCUUUGUUUAUUAUACCUUUGUUGCUUUGGCGGGCCCGUCCUCGGACCACCGGCUUCUGCUGGUCAGUGCCCGCCAGAGGACCUAAAACUCUGUUUGUUAAUAUUGUCUGAGUACUAUAUAACAGUUA